rnacentral:rRNA from 1 species
CAGCCGCCGCGGUAAUACCGGCGGCCCGAGUGGCGGCCACUAUUAUUGGGCCUAAAGCGUCCGUAGCCGGGUUGGUUAGUCUCCCGGGAAAUCUGGCCGCUUAACGGUCAGAAUGCCGGAGGAUACUCCCAGCCUAGGGACCGGGAGAGGCCGAGGGUAUUCCCGGAGUAGGGGUGAAAUCCUAUAAUCCCGGGAGGACCACCUGUGGCGAAGGCGCUCGGCUGGAACGGGUCCGACGGUGAGGGACGAAGGCCAGGGGAGCAAACCGGAGUAGAUACCCGGGUAGUCCUGGCUGUAAACGAUGCGGACUUUGUGUCGGACAAGCUAUGAGCUUGUCCGGUGCCGGAGGGAAACCGUUAAGUCCGCCGCCUGGGGAGUACGGCCGCAAGGCUGAAACUUAAAGGAAUUGGCGGG